UCGCUUCAGCAGCACAUAUACUACAAUUAGAAUAAUACAGAGAAGAUUAACAUGACCCCUGUGCAGGGAUGACACACCGGUUUGUGAAGAGUUCAUAUUUUUA